AUUGAACGCUGGCGGCAGGCCUAACACAUGCAAGUCGAGCGGCAGCGGGACCUUCGGGUUGCCGGCGAGCGGCGGACGGGUGAGUAAUGCCUAGGAAUCUGCCUGUUAGUGGGGGAUAACGCGGGGAAACUCGCGCUAAUACCGCAUACGUCCUACGGGAGAAAGUGGGGGACCUUCGGGCCUCACGCUAACAGAUGAGCCUAGGUCGGAUUAGCUAGUUGGUGGGGUAACGGCCCACCAAGGCGACGAUCCGUGACUGGUCUGAGAGGAUGGUCAGUCACAGUGGAACUGAGACACGGUCCCGACUCCUACGGGAGGCAGCAGUGGGGAAUAUUGGACAAGGGGCGAAAGCCUGAUCCAGCCAUGCCGCGUGUGUGAAGAAGGUCUUCGGAUUGUAAAGCACUUUAAGCCGGGAGGAAGGGCUGUAGGCGAAUACCCUGCAGUCUUGACGUUACCGGCAGAAUAAGCACCGGCUAACUUCGUGCCAGCCGCCGCAGUAAUAC
rnacentral:rRNA from 1 species